rnacentral:lncRNA from 1 species
GUUCAUCCCCACUAACAUUUUAAAUAAGUUUGUGUCGGAUAAAUGUGAGGUUUUUUAGAUUAGAAUUUCAAUGUACCACUACAACCUCAGGUGUCGUUCUUUUAUAUCGGAUUCCUUUAAGGUUUUUGAAAGGAUUAUGUUAUAAUCGUCAGAAAUGGGAGAUAUUUGAUUAUCAUAUCACCAUAUGAUGUGGGAUGUGUGUCCUUUUAAAUGUGGAAUGGUGAUUGUCCUCUGGUGGUCAUAGUCACAUUUGAAUUGUCAUCAAAUGGCUCAAGAUGCGUAAACAUGCGAGCUAUCGUGGUUAUCAUCAUCAUAUUAUCUUUUUGUCCAUUUGAUAGCUAUGAUUAAGGAACUAGGUGUGCUACCAUAUACAUUGACUUCAUAUCUCAUCAUUAAACGUAAUAUGUCCUAAUUUCGAGAAGCUUCUUUGUUGGUCGGAUCAUGUCGAUCUGAGGUGGUCUGAUUUCUUUAAUGGGUUUGGAUUAUAAUGUCCUUAGUCUGACCCAUAACAAGUAUAAGUAACUCGUUUUUUGUAGUUGGAUGUAAAUAACCUUUUAUUUGGGGGUGGCGAAUGGAGUUUUUAAAGUUGUGGUUGUUAUUAAAUUAUUAUAAUUUGAUUAAGUGCCAAAUUUAUCUAGUUUUCA